rnacentral:rRNA from 1 species
CUAAAUACUACCCAGUGACCGAUAGCGUAUAGUACUGUGAAGGAAAGGUGAAAAGCACCCCGGGAGGGGAGUGAAAAAGAACCUGAAACCCUGUGCCUACAAGCACCUAGAGCACGUCAAUGUGUGAUAGGGUACUUUUUGUAGAACGGUCCGGCGAGCGAUUGUAUGCAGCAAGGUUAAGGACUUAAGGUCUGGAGCCGAAGCGAAAGCGAGUUUGAAAAGGGCGUUAAGUUGCAUAUAAUGGGCCCGAAACCGGGUGACCUACCCAUGGUCAGGUUGAAGUGGAAGUAAAAUUCCAUGGAGGACCGAACCGACCUCCGUUGAAAAGGCGGCGGAUGAACUGUGGGUAGCGGAGAAAUUCCAAUCGAACCCGGAGAUAGCUGGUUCUCCCCGAAAUAGUUUUAGGACUAGCCUCAAGUUAGAUACCUGGAGGUAAAGCACUGAAUAGCCUAGCGGCCGAGAGGUUAGCGAAGCUUAUCAAACUCAGAAUGCCAGAGUAUUGAUGCUUGGGAGUCAGACAGUGUCAGAUAAAUGUCAUUGUCAAAAGGGAAACAGCCCAGAUCUACAGCUAAGGUCCCAAAGUCAGGUUAAGUGGAAAACGAUGUGAAGAUACGCAGACAACCAGGAUGUUGGCUCAGAAGCAGCCACUCAUUCAAAGAGUGCGUAAUAGCUCACUGGUCGAGCGUCUUUGCGCGGAGAAUUUAACGGGGCUAAACCUGACACCGAAGCUUAGGCAAUACAGCAAUGUAUUGGGUAGGGGAGCGUUGUAUACGCGGAGAAACAGUAGCGCAAGCGGCUGUGGAGUGUAUAGAAGUGAGAAUGCCGGAAUGAGUAGCGCGAAUGCAGUGAGAAUCUGCAUGGCCGAAAGCCUCAGGUUUCUGGAGGAAGGUUCGUCCGCUCCAGGUUAGUCGGGAGCUAAGGUGAGGCCUAACGGCGUAGCCGAUGCACAGACGGUAGAGAUUCCGUCACCACCAAAAGAGUUAAACACAGGGACACAUUUGAAGUCUCGGAGCCGGGUGUUGGUUCCGGUAGCGAUCGAGGGAAAUUAGUACCGAAGUCCGGGAUGGAAGAUGGCGAGAAAAGCUGUGUGUAUUUCUGCGGUGCCCGUACCGCAAACCGACACAGGUAGGUAGGAAGAAGAUUCUAAGGCCAACGGGAGAAGGGUUGUUAAGGAACUCGGCAAAUUGACCCCGUAACUUCGGGAGAAGGGGUGCUCCAGAGAUGGAGCCGCAGAGAAUCGGCCCAAGCAACUGUUUACCAAAAACACAGGUUUGUGCUAAAUCGAAAGAUGACGUAUACGAGCUGACGCCUGCCCGGUGCUGGAAGGUUAAAAGGAGAUGUGCAAGCAUUGAAUUGAAGCCCCAGUGAACGGCGGCCGUAACUAUAACGGUCCUAAGGUAGCGAAAUUCCUUGUCAGGUAAGUUCUGACCCGCAUGAAAGGCGUAAUGAUCUGGGCACUGUCUCAACAGCCCGCCCGGCGAAAUUGUAGUACCGGUGAAGAUGCCGGUUACCCGCGACAAGACGGAAAGACCCCAUGGAGCUUUACUGUAGCCUAAUAUUGGGUUUCGAUGUUGCAUGCACAGGAUAGAUGGGACACUGGGAAACAAGUGCUUUGGCAUUUGUGGAGUGGCCGUUGGGAUACCAUCCUUGCGAUAUUGGAAUUCUAACCUGCGCCUUUGAAUCAAGGCGGGGGACAUUGUUAGGUGGGCAGUUUGACUGGGGCGGUCGCCUCCUAAAGAGUAACGGAGGCGUUCAAAGGUUCCCUCAGAAUGGUUGGAAAUCAUUCAAAGAGCAUAAAGGUAUAAAGGGAGCUUGACUGCAAGACCUACAAGUCAAGCAGGUGCGAAAGCAGGACUUAGUGAUCAGGCGAUUCAGAAUGGAAUGGUCGUCGCUUAACGGAUAAAAGUUACCCCGGGGAUAACAGGCUGAUACCACCCAAUAGUUCACAUAGACGGUGGUGUUUGGCACCUCGAUGUCGGCUCGUCAUAUCCUGGAGGUGGAGUCGCUUCCAAGGGUUGGGCUGUUCGCCCAUUAAAAUGGCACGCGAGCUGGGUUCAGAACGUCGUGAGACAGUUCGGUCCCUAUCCGUCGUGGGCGCAGGAAAAUUGAGGAGAGCUAUCCUUAGUACGAGAGGACCGGGAUGGACCUACCUCUGGUGUAUCUGUUGUCACGCCAGUGGCAGUGCAGAGUAGCUAUGUAGGGAAGGGAUAAACGCUGAAAGCAUCUAAGCGUGAAGCCCUCUCCAAGAUGAGUUUUCCCAUUGUAUAACAAGUAAAAUCCCAGAAAGACUAACUGGUAGAUAGGCUAGAAGUGGAAGUGUAGUGAUACAUUGAGCGGACUAGUACUAAUAGAUUGAGGAUUUAAUCCC